rnacentral:rRNA from 1 species
UACGGAGGGAGCUAGCGUUAUUCGGAAUUACUGGGCGUAAAGCGCACGUAGGCGGCUUUGUAAGUAAGAGGUGAAAGCCCAGAGCUCAACUCUGGAAUUGCCUUUUAGACUGCAUCGCUUGAAUCAUGGAGAGGUCAGUGGAAUUCCGAGUGUAGAGGUGGAAUUCGUAGAUAUUCGGAAGAACACCAGUGGCGAAGGCGGCUGACUGGACAUGUAUUGACGCUGAGGUGCGAAAGCGUGGGGAGCAAACAGG